GCUGGCGGCACGCCUAACACAUGCAAGUCGAACGAAGUAGCAAUACUUAGUGGCAGACGGGUGAGUAACAUGUAGGUAUCUACCCUUUGGCCUGGAAUAACACGAGGAAACUUGUGCUAAUACCGGAUAAGUCUUUACGGAGAAAGCUUUAUGCACCAUUGGAUGAGCCUGCACUUGAUUAGUUUGUUGGUGGGGUAAUGGCCUACCAAGACUGUGAUCAAUAGCUGAUUUGAGAGGAUGAUCAGCCACAUUGGGACUGAGACACGGCCCAAACUCCUACGGGAGGCAGCAGUGGGGAAUCUUGCACAAUGGAGGAAACUCUGAUGCAGCGAUGCCGCGUGAGUGAAGAAGGCCUUUGGGUUGUAAAGCUCUUUCGUCGGGGAAGAAAAUGACUGUACCCGAAUAAGAAGGUCCGGCUAACUUCGUGCCAGCAGCCGCGGUAAUACGAAGGGACCUAGCGUAGUUCGGAAUUACUGGGCUUAAAGAGUUCGUAGGUGGUUGAAAAAGUUGGUGGUGAAAUCCCAGAGCUUAACUCUGGAACUGCCAUCAAAACUUUUCAGCUAGAGUAUGAUAGAGGAAAGCAGAAUUUCUAGUGUAGAGGUGAAAUUCGUAGAUAUUAGAAAGAAUACCAAUUGCGAAGGCAGCUUUCUGGAUCAUUACUGACACUGAGGAACGAAAGCAUGGGUAGCGAAGAGGAUUAGAUACCCUCGUAGUCCAUGCCGUAAACGAUGUGUGUUAGACGUUGGAAAUUUAUUUUCAGUGUCGCAGCGAAAGCGAUAAACACACCGCCUGGGGAGUACGACCGC
rnacentral:rRNA from 1 species